UUUUUAAUCUUUAAUGACCUCUCUGUAUUUUGGUGGUGUUGUUGCUAUUUUCUUUUAACACAAACCUUUAUCUAAACAUGUCAGCACAAUAAAGGCUAUAGCAAUACAUUAUUUCAUUUCCAAAAGGCAGAGGGAUUUAAGAGAUAUAUGCAAAUAAAGAAUAUGAAGUUGCUUACGCUGAUAUAUUGGGGCUUUCAUCAAAAACAUCCGCUGUACAUUGGUCAGAAGGUUGAGGCAACAACACGCCUCACAAUAUGGCUGCAGAUGUCAGACGCGCUCAUAAAAGCGUGUCACUGGACCACCUGCUAGAUACGUUUCCGGUGAUGCUGUUGCUCUCUGUCAGCUUGACGCUGCUCAUGUGCGGACACGCAGCGCAGUUGUCGCACUUUGAGCUGCGGGCAUAAGAAGAGCACCAGUGACCGAAGAUCCGCAGUCUGCACCUGUCACCAAGAUGAAGCACGCUGUGGUUUUCACCCUGGUAGUCUGCUUGGCUUUCGCAGCACUGUCAUGG